UUUCUCUGCCUAUCAUAGGUAUGCGGAAUAUAUAACAAAACAAUAUGAAAGAAACAUUGUAGUAAUGUUUCUUUGUUAUUGGAACGUUACGUGGAAUUCGAUUUGGAUAUCUUAGGAUUAAAAACACGAAUGAAACACAAGGUUCACUGUUUUUACAUUAUAACUAGAAUCAUGUUUAAUGGAUUGCGAAGAACAGUAAGAGAUUAUUUUGGAGGUCAAUCGUUCAUGUAUAUCUUUGAUACAUUAUGCAACGUUUUAGAUUGAUGCAUAUUGCCACGUGGUUAUUCUGAGACCGGUCAUUUCGUAUCAUUAUUUACGAGAAUUUUACAAGAAAUACUCCAACCGGUGCGUCGUAUAAUAUCUAAUAAUUUCAACAUUUUUUAAACGAAUAUUCUUAUUAUAUAUGCGUCGUAUUGAUUACUUAAAAUUAAACGCAUAAAGUAGGUUCAACUUUCGUAAUUAAUGUCGAGGAACGUCAGCCUACUGAUAAAGUGCAAAGUUAACGAUGCAAGUACAUGUAGUUUGUCGACAUGUAGUCACAUCUUUGUUCCUAUAAAUAAAUGACGAGAGUCGCGUAGUCUCGGUUUAUCACUCCAGUGCAUACUCUUAUGCAAGCUUUACCGCGUGGAAAAAUCAAUAAUCACCUGCGACGUCUCUACCUAAGGUGUUACGUCAGAACUUUUGGGGGGAGGGGGGAGGCUGGCAUACUGGUAACUUCUGUUGUCAUAGGACACAGUGAACACUAAGUAUCAAAGAAAUUUUUCAAAAUAUUAAACGAUUAAACAAUAUUAAUUUUCAAGUAUUCUACUUACGAAUAACCCCUUAUAUAUGAUUCUAAUAUUUUUGGUUACCGAUUACCAUUACCUACGUGAAAUAUUUUUUGUUGCCGACUACCAUUAUGGCAGAAUCAUUUUUUGGUUGUCGAUAACUAUUAUUCGUGACGGAGUUAUUUUUAGUUACCAAUGACCAUUUUUCAUGACUGAGGUUUUUUGGUUACUCAUAACAAUUAUAAUUUUGGUUACUGAUAUCUAUUAUGUAAGAAAGCAUCUUUUAAUCGUUGAUAACAAUUAUCAACGAUAUAAUUUUUUUGCUACCGAUAACCAUCAUAAAUUUCUUUGGUGACUAAUAACCGUUAUUUUUGGCGGAUUUCUUUUUGGCUAUUGAUAACCAUUAUCAAAGAUGGAACUUUUUUUAGGUACCGAUAAUUAUUAUCGAUGACGGGAUUUUUCGUUACCAUUACCAAUUGUCGAUAACCCGAAUUUUGUUUUAAAAAUCGUUUUGGUUGAUAAGCAAAAAGAUUUUUAUUGUUUAUCAUGAUUAUUCGUAACCACGUUGUUUUAAUUGAAUAAGUCUUAUAGCAUAACUUUUGAAACUUCUGUUUUCCCCCUCUUACCCAUACUUUCAAACGAUAACAAUUCUCCAUAUUUGCGUUGUUGCUUGUUCAGUUGAUACAACUUCUUGUUUUUAAAUUAUUCAAUGGCCAUUAGUGUCCUGUAUAUAGAAUAUUUUUUUAACAAGAAUGUAAAACGUCCAAGUAUAUUUUAUAACACUUCCAGGGCCUUCAUAAAGCUUGCCACUAUCGUGUUUAAAACAUAGUAUCGAGUUUCAUGUCCGAAAUAAAUGCCAGUAGUUUAUGUCACAAUUUUACUAAAAAUUUAACAGUUUAAAAAGCUCAGACAGUGCGUACUUUUUGUUGCUCUCAAGCUUAA